rnacentral:misc_RNA from 1 species
UCUCCGUUGGUGAACCAGCGGAGGGAUCAUUAUCGAGUUUAUAACUCCCAAACCCUAUGUGAACUUACCACUUGUUGCUUCGGCGCGCGCUUCGGCGCCGCCGAGGACACUUAAACUCUUUGUUUUUAUAAGCAUUUCUGAGUGGCCGAAAGGCAAAAUACAAAUGAAUCAGAACUUUCAACAACGGAUCUCUUGGUUCUG